rnacentral:rRNA from 1 species
CCAAAUAUGGUAACUCCUUUAAAGACGAUAUAUUGAUGUCCAAUAUUCGCGAGAUGUACCUUAUCAUGGAUAGUAGCUUCAUUCCAGUUAAAAAUUUUUGACAUCCAGGCAACUGGGAUUAUGAUAACAUUAAAUUAGCGACUAUUAACGUGCCAGCAGUCGCGGUCACACGUUAGCUAAAAGGGAAUAAAUGCAGGAACCUUGGAGUUAUUGAAUCUGCUGUGCGUGGUGAAAUACGAACAGCAUAAUAUCUACAAAUAAUUUAUCGAAAGUUGUUAACAAACGGGGAUUAGACACCCUCCUAUGCAACCUACAUAGAAUUUCCUGGGGACUACAAGGACACUUCAAACUCAAUCAACAUGGCGGUUGUUUAAACAUUUAGGGGAACUUACUAGGUAAAUGAUACUCAUCAAGAAAGUCUACAAUCACUACAUUUUGCAUACCGUCGUCGUCAGAUAUCUUACAAUAAGACGUCAAAAGCUAUAAAGAAAAAGACAGAUCAAGGCGUAGAUAACGUGGUUGACGCAGCGAGUUACUAUGACAAUUCAACUCACUAUUUUAGUACAAGUGCUUAAAUCAGUGUAGGACUUAAAAGUAAUAUAUAUUUAGUAUACUAUAUGAAUACUUCUUGAACUGUGC